GUUGUGGGUUUUGGUGAUGUUAUAAAUUCCAUACACAAUUAUGUCGCGUAAGUUCAUUGUAUACUAGUGAAGUUACCCGUGCACUGUGGCGGACUGAUGCUAUAGAAGACAGAAGAUUAACAAAGUAAAAAUUUUAAAAUUUUUUUGAAUUGCCGUAAAGCAUUAAUAAAUAAUGAUAAUAUAUAUUAAUAUAUAUACAAAUAGAAUAGAUGAAACAGAUAUACGUACAAAUGUAACAAAACUUACAAUUUUAGUAAAUAAAUUAUAAAAAGUAAUAAUGAAAUAAGCAGUAAUAGAAUUAUUACUCCUUAUGCAUCUUGAUCGCACUGCAGACACCAAGGAGACGAAUCCUCAUCUCCACAUCACCUUUGCCGCCAUUGUUGACAUCGACCACCUUUUUCGUCACAUCCACGUUGAUCACAUACGGAUCUCUCCAAACCUACCACUUCUUUCUCCUCAUUGACUCCAAAUCUAUCUCUGCUUUCUCCCGCGAUAUUGUGCCACAAUUUGCGGAACUCUAAUUUCAGUCCACAUACAAUUUAAAAAUAGAAAGAGAAAAAAAUUAAAAAUAUUACAAAAUAUGAAUCUUUCUUAUGUGACAAAAAAAAAGAGAAAAAAGAGUACAAAAAAUCUUAUUUUAUUUUUUCUUAUGAAAGCAAUUUGUUUAUAUGAAAUUCGACCGUGUGACCACAUAACUAGGAGGUAAGCGGGUGAGAAGACGAAGUAUCAUAUAGAAAUGGAAUAAGAAGACGAAGCAUCAAAAAGUAAAAAGAGCACAGAAGGUAAGGAUGAAGGAGAAACUGUCACGUGGUAAGUUCAUGAAAAAUAAUGUAUAGGUAUUGAAGAUUAUAUGAAAUUGGACCGUGUGACCACAUUAAUUGAGAGGUAAGCGGGUGGGAAGACGAAGUAUCGCGUAGAAAUGGGGUGAGAAGACGAAGCAUCAAAAAGUAAGAAGAGCAAAGAAGGUAAGGAUGAAGGAGGGACUACCACGUGGCAAUUUCAUGAGAAAUAAUGUAUAGGUAAAGUAUAGGUAUAGAAGUAUAGAUAUAGAUUACUAUUUCUUGU
rnacentral:lncRNA from 1 species